UACGUAGGGUGCGAGCGUUGUCCGGAUUUAUUGGGCGUAAAGAGCUCGUAGGCGGUUUGUCGCGUCGGCCGUGAAAUCUCCACGCUUAACGUGGAGCGUGCGGUCGAUACGGGCAGACUUGAGUUCGGUAGGGGAGAAUGGAAUUCCUGGUGUAGCGGUGGAAUGCGCAGAUAUCAGGAGGAACACCGAUGGCGAAGGCAGUUCUCUGGGCCGUAACUGACGCUGAGGAGCGAAAGCGUGGGGAGCGAACAGG
rnacentral:rRNA from 1 species